rnacentral:rRNA from 1 species
UACGAAGGGGACUAGCGUUGUUCGGAAUCACUGGGCGUAAAGCGCACGUAGGCGGAUUUGUAAGUCAGGGGUGAAAUCCCGGGGCUCAACCUCGGAACUGCCUUUGAUACUGCGAGUCUUGAGUCCGAUAGAGGUGGGUGGAAUUCCUAGUGUAGAGGUGAAAUUCGUAGAUAUUAGGAAGAACACCGGUGGCGAAGGCGGCCCACUGGAUCGGUACUGACGCUGAGGUGCGAAAGCGUGGGGAGCAAAC